AGAGUUUGAUCAUGGCUCAGAAUCAACGCUGGCGGCGCGCCUAACACAUGCAAGUCGAACGAGAAAGUGGAGCAAUCCAUGAGUACAGUGGCGUACGGGUGAGUAACACGUGGGUAAUCUACCUUUUAGUGAGGAAUAACCGAGGGAAACUUUGGCUAAUACCGCAUAAGCCCGAGAGGGGAAAGCAGAAAUGCGCUGAAAGAGGAGCCCGCGGCCGAUUAGCUAGUUGGUAGGGUAAGAGCCUACCAAGGCAGAGAUCGGUAGCCGGCCUGAGAGGGCACACGGCCACACUGGCACUGAAACACGGGCCAGACUCCUACGGGAGGCAGCAGUGGGGAAUCUUGCACAAUGGGGGAAACCCUGAUGCAGCGACGCCGCGUGAGCGAUGAAGCCCUUCGGGGUGUAAAGCUCUUUCGUCAGGGAAGAUAGUGACGGUACCUGGAGAAGCAGCUGCGGCUAACUACGUGCCAGCAGCCGCGGUAAUACGUAGGCAGCAAGCGUUGUUCGGAGUUACUGGGCGUAAAGGGUGUGUAGGCGGUUCCUUAAGUUUGCUGUGAAAUCUCCCGGCUUAACCGGGAGGGUGCGGUGAAUACUGAGGGACUAGAGUACGGGAGAGGAAAGUGGAAUUCCUGGUGUAGCGGUGAAAUGCGUAGAUAUCAGGAGGAACACCGGUGGUGUAGACGGCUUUCUGGACCGUAACUGACGCUGAGACACGAAAGCGUGGGUAGCAAACAGGAUUAGAUACCCUAGUAGUCC
rnacentral:rRNA from 1 species